rnacentral:snRNA from 1 species
ACACCUACCUGGUGCUGGGGACUCGUUGAUCGCGAAGGGCGAGCCCCCAAGGGGGAGGCGCGGGGGUUGCACAUCGCUCGCGUUGACCCCUGUCACUACCACAAACUGGGGCACACGGGGC